UGCAUCCAGCAAUGCCUUUCCACAUAAACUUGCAAAUUUGGACAAUUCAGAGCGUAUAUGACGUGUCUGGAUAUUCGUGCGUUAGAAAUAGUGCCUAGAGCUAGAAGUAGUUAUCCAACAUUAUUCAACAAAUGCUGGGAGAAAAUCAAUGCAGAUUCUUCAACAAUUUCAUAUCGUUUACAAAAAAAGAAGAAAUGCAAAAAU